rnacentral:rRNA from 1 species
CCUACGGGAGGCAGCAGUGAGGAAUAUUGGUCAAUGGGCGAGAGCCUGAACCAGCCAAGUCGCGUGAGGGAGUACUGCCCUAUGGGUUGUAAACCUCUUUUGUCGGGGAGCAAAAGCCGGACGUGUCCGGCUGUGAUAGUACCCGCAGAAAAAGCAUCGGCUAACUCCGUUCCAGCAGCCGCGGUAAUACGGAGGAUGCGAGGGUUAUCCGGAUUUAUUGGGGUUAAAGGGUGCUCAGGCGGAUUUUUAAGUCAGCGGUCAAAUCGUGGGGCUCAACCCCAUCCAGCCGUUGAAACUGGGGAUCUAGAGUGUGCGAGAGGUAUGCGGAAUGCGUGGUGUAGCGGUGAAAUGCAUAGAUAUCACGCAGAACCCCGAUUGCGAAGGCAGCAUACCGGUGCACAACUGACGCUCAGGCACGAAAGCGUGGGUAUCGAACAGGAUUAGAUACCCCGGUAGUC